rnacentral:rRNA from 1 species
AACCAACAGGGAUUGCCCUAGUAACGGCGAGUGAAGCGGCAACAGCUCAAAUUUGAAAUCUGGCCCUCGCGGUCCGAGUUGUAAUUUGUAGAGGAUGCUUUGGGCGCGGCGCCUUCCAAGUUCCCUAGAACGGGACGCCUUAGAGGGUGAGAGCCCCGUACGGUUGGACGCCUAGCCUAUGUAUAGCUCCUUCGACGAGUCGAGUAGUUUGGGAAUGCUGCUCUAAAUGGGAGGUAAAUUUCUUCUAAAGCUAAAUACCGGCCAGAGACCGAUAGCGCACAAGUAGAGUGAUCGAAAGAUGAAAAGUACUUUGAAAAGAGGGUUAAAUAGCACGUGAAAUUGUUGAAAGGGAAGCGUUUGCGACCAGACCUUUUCCAGGCGGAUCAUCCGGCGUUCUCGCCGGUGCACUUCGCCUGGUUUAGGCCAGCAUCGGUUUUCCCAGGGGGAUAAAGGCGGCGGGAACGUAGCUCUCUCGGGAGUGUUAUAGCCCGCCGCGUAAUACCCUUGGGGGGACCGAGGACCGCGCUUCGGCAAGGAUGCUGGCGUAAUGGUCGUCAACGACCCGUCUUGAAACACGGACCAAGGAGUCGAACAUUUGUGCGAGUGUUUGGGUGUCAAACCCUCACGCGUAAUGAAAGUGAACGGAGGUGAGAGCCCCUCGCGGGUGCAUCAUCGACCGAUCCUGAUGUCUUCGGAUGGAUUUGAGUAAGAGCAUAACUGUUCGGACCCGAAAGAUGGUGAACUAUGCGUGGAUAGGGUGAAGCCAGAGGAAACUCUGGUGGAGGCUCGCAGCGGUUCUGACGUGCAAAUCGAUCGUCAAAUCUGCGCAUGGGGGCGAAAGA